GAUGAACGCUGGCGGCGUGCCUAAUACAUGCAAGUCGAACGCUGGAAAUCUAGCUUGCUAGAUUGAAGGAGUGGCGAACGGGUGAGUAAUACAUAAGCAACCUACCCACGAAGACUGGGAUAAUCUCUGGAAACGGGGACUAAUACCGGAUAGGUAAUCGGAAGGCAUCUUCUGAUUAUUAAAGGUUAAAAACACUGGUGGAUGGGCUUAUGGCGCAUUAGUUAGUUGGUGAGGUAACGGCCCACCAAGACGAUGAUGCGUAGCCGGCCUGAGAGGGUGAACGGCCACAUUGGGACUGAGACACGGCCCAGACUCCUACGGGAGGCAGCAGUAGGGAAUUUUCGGCAAUGGGGGAAACCCUGACCGAGCAACGCCGCGUGAGUGAUGACGGCCUUCGGGUUGUAAAGCUCUGUUGUAGGGGAAGAACGGUAGAUAGAGAAUAUCUAAAUGACGGUACCUUACCAGAAAGCCACGGCUAACUACGUG
rnacentral:rRNA from 1 species